rnacentral:rRNA from 1 species
GACGAACGCUGGCGGCACGCUUAACACAUGCAAGUCGAACGGAGAAUUUUUGGUUUACUAGAAAUUCUUAGUGGCGGACGGGUGAGUAACACGUGAGCAACCUGCCUCUGAGAGGGGGAUAGCUUCUGGAAACGGAUGGUAAUACCCUAUGACAUACAUUUGCCGCAUGACAGAUGUAUCAAAGAUUUAUCACUCAGAGAUGGGCUCGCGUCUGAUUAGCUAGUUGGUGAGGUAACGGCCCACCAAGGCGACGAUCAGUAGCCGGACUGAGAGGUUGAACGGCCACAUUGGGACUGAGACACGGCCCAGACUCC